rnacentral:rRNA from 1 species
UACACUCCUACGGGAGGCAGCAGUGGGGAAUAUUGCACAAUGGGCGCAAGCCUGAUGCAGCCAUGCCGCGUGUAUGAAGAAGGCCUUCGGGUUGUAAAGUACUUUCAGCGGGGAGGAAGGCGAUAAGGUUAAUAACCUUGUUGAUUGACGUUACCCGCAGAAGAAGCACCGGCUAACUCCGUGCCAGCAGCCGCGGUAAUACGGAGGGUGCAAGCGUUAAUCGGAAUUACUGGGCGUAAAGCGCACGCAGGCGGUCUGUCAAGUCGGAUGUGAAAUCCCCGGGCUCAACCUGGGAACUGCAUUCGAAACUGGCAGGCUAGAGUCUUGUAGAGGGGGGUAGAAUUCCAGGUGUAGCGGUGAAAUGCGUAGAGAUCUGGAGGAAUACCGGUGGCGAAGGCGGCCCCCUGGACAAAGACUGACGCUCAGGUGCGAAAGCGUGGGGAGCAAACAGGAUUAGAAACCCCAGUAGUCCC